CGCGGCCUAUCAGCUUGUUGGCGGGGUAAUGGCCCACCAAGGCAACGACGGGUAGCUGGUCUGAGAGGAUGGUCAGCCACACUGGGACUGAGACACGGCCCAGACUCCUACGGGAGGCAGCAGUGGGGAAUCUUGCGCAAUGGGCGAAAGCCUGACGCAGCAACGCCGCGUGCGGGAAGAAGGCUUUCGGGCUGUAAACCUCUUUCAGCAGGGAAGAAGCGAAAGUGACGGUACCUGCAGAAGAAGCACCGGCUAACUACGUGCCAGCAGCCGCGGUAAUACGUAGGGUGCAAGCGUUGUCCGGAAUUAUUGGGCGUAAAGAGCUCGUAGGCGGUCUGUCGCGUCGGAUGUGAAAACCCAGGGCUCAACCCUGGGCCUGCAUUCGAUACGGGCAGACUAGAGUUCGGUAGGGGAGACUGGAAUUCCUGGUGUAGCGGUGAAAUGCGCAGAUAUCAGGAGGAACACCGGUGGCGAAGGCGGGUCUCUGGGCCGAAACUGACGCUGAGGAGCGAAAGCGUGGGGAGCGAACAGGAUUAGAUACCCUGGUAGUCCACGCCGUAAACGUUGGGCGCUAGGUGUGGGGAACCUUCCACGUUCUCCGUGCCGCAGCUAACGCAUUAAGCGCCCCGCCUGGGGAGUACGG
rnacentral:rRNA from 1 species